AAGAGGAAGAGCGGAGCUCCCCUGGCUGUUCGAACCAACACUCCGCCCCCCAUGUCCAGGAGCGCCAGGACGGCGGCGAAGGUUACGAGCCCCUUGGCGGACAAGCGCAGGACGACCGCCGCGAGCUCUUACGAUCCGGAGAACCUGGACGGGGCGACCAUCGGGAGAGUCAGCAAGCAGCGCAGGCGGUGAGACGGUUGAGUACGCGGGAAAGACGGAACGGCGCACACGGAGGAGAGAGUGAACGCACACGUCCACGCGAACAUUGAAAUGAGAACCAAGUCUGUAUGUCUAAAGCGUACGGUGCACACUCGCGGUGAAAGUCGGGCGUUGAGUGGGGGCUGGAUCCCACUGGAAGCUGCGGCUGGGCACCCACCAAAAUAUGUCGUCUGAAUCCGAACUUUAGAACUAGAACGCGGUUAGGAAAUGAGCAUGGGCAUGGUCGGGUGCCUUUUCGUUCGAAAUAAAUGCCUCGGCCGCUGAGUGUGUGCUCAGAGACGUGCGGCCUGGGGCUCCGUGAACUUGAACGUGGCACCGCCGACAGACGCAGCAGCGA
rnacentral:lncRNA from 1 species